rnacentral:lncRNA from 1 species
GGGCGCAAGGCUGGAUUCGAAGAAGGCAUAGAGCCACCUAGAAAACUCCCCUAUAGCCCCGGAGGGGAGACAAGAAGAACUCGACCGUGCUUCGACGAUGGUACGGUAACCCUACAACUAUAUUCAACAACCCGUUGCGGAAUCGCGUAGCUACUGGGGCGAAUGCCACUCCCUUGGGACGAAGAUCUUCGAUAUCUCUAGAUGGUCAUUUACAAGCAUCGCAGGGCUACUGGACCCAUCACCUCAUGGGAACAUUGCCCAUCGCGAAUUUAGCGCUGCCAAGCACACAUCAGCUCCUGCAAACGUUUCUGACAUCCAGCCCUGAAGUAUCAGCCAAACCCAUCCUUCUGUGGCCUUUUCUGCUUCCUUGAGACUUCUGUCGCCAUUUACAGAGCUGCACGAAAGCUGGCCUAAAUCACCCCCAACACUGAAUCAGUGCCAUGCAGACCGAUCGAAA